UGAAAUUGAGCAAAAGGAAUAUAAACAAUUCAUUUAAAGAGAUGAAUAAUACUAAUAAACUUAUUAUUUGUUCAACAGCUGCUAUGAAAUAAAGUAUAAGAUUCACUGUAAUAAUGAUAAUGAUAAUAACUAUGCCCUCAAAGCAUCAUGAGACAAGUUGAAGAACCUCUGGGUUAGUGGAUGAAUGGUUUACAGGUGAUGCUGUAUGAAAGACACAGUCACAUCCAUCAACCGCAGGAUCAAAAGAUCCCUCCUCAAGUAAAUUGGCUUCAAACAAGUGAAGUCUUUCCUUGGCUCCGUCAAGUGCAAGGAGGUGUUCGGUCUUCUGUGGAUCAUCUGAAAUACAAGCAGAAGACUGAUGAUUACUACCAGCCUUAAAAUGUCGAUGGAAGCUGUCUAGCUAUCUGCCCCUCCCACAACCGACGACAACUCCUAACAUUUACUUGGGCAUAUAAGCUUUUGAGUAAAAAUUUCUAUUUUGGCAUCUCAAGGGACCGUUGAUGCUGGCCAGGCUUUGGACGAGCCCGCACAUCUUUGUUUUUAGGCAUCUCCCAAAAAACCCUCAUACUAAUGGAAUUAUUCUGGUUGUUAAUAUUCUAGUUUUCUGUUUCUCCCGCAGCCGAUGUGGACGUGGACAAGCCUAAACAAUCCCGUUGGGUCAAAAACGGAAAACACACUAAAUCAACACAGCAAGAAACACAAAAAAAAGAGCAGAAACAUGCAAAGAAAAAGAGUUGAAAUACAAACUGAGAGAUCGAACAGUGGCGUUGACAGUGUAAUUCCGUUCAAGUAACAUCUUGACAAGCCAUGCAGCGAUAUAUCCUGACGCCCCUGUUACACAAACUAGCUUUCCUCUUCCACUCAUGCUUUCCUCUGUCUCAACUGCCUUAAACUCUUCUUCUUUCUUCUCAGACAUAACUGACAUGUCGACUCCAAGACAAGAUUUUUCAAGUGUAUUCUUGUUCAACUUUUGACUACAUGCACUUGUAUCUCUGUUUCUUUAUAGUGCCUUGUACGACUAUGCUACCCACUCCAGCCAGAGUACUUUUACAAGUAAUUUAAUAUGAUUCUUAAAAUUCUUAUAAAUAUUUAUUUUUCUAGAAUAAUUAUAGUAUUGUAAAUUUUUCUUGAGAAAACAAUCUAACUAUAUAACUAGUUCUUUAAAACUUAAAUUACAUUUAAAAAAAAUCAAAAUAACAUUUAAUUUGACCAGAAUAUUUGAAAAAUAAUGUGUAAACUUUUUCUCAUACCUUAAAUUAUAUGGAAAAAUCAAAAUAACACUUAAUUUGACCAUAAAAUUUGAAAUUACGUGUAAAUUUUUUCUUACACCUUAAAUUCCAAGGAAAAAUCAAAAUAACACUUAAUUUGAUCUGAAUAUUUGAAAAAUAAUGUGGAAACUUUUUCUUACACCUUAAAUAACAUGGACAAAUCAAAAUCACACUUAAUUUGACCAUAAAAUUUGAAAUUAUGUGUAAACUUUUUCUUACACAUUAAAUUCCAUGGAAAAAUCAAAAUAACACUUAAUUUGACCUGAAUAUUUGAAAAAUAAUGUGGAAACUUUUUCUUACACCUUCAAUAACAUGGAAAAAUCAAAAUAGCACCUCAUGUGACCUGAAUAUUUGAAAAAUAAUGUGGAAACUUUUUCUUACAUCUUAAACUGCAUGGAGAAAUCAAAAUAACACUUAAUUUGAGCAGAAAAUUUGAAAUUAUGUGUAGCUUUUUUUUACACCUUAAAUUACAUGGAAAAAUCAAAAUAACACUUAUUUUGAUCGGAAUAUUUGAAAAAUAAUGUGAAAACUUUUGCUUACACCUUAAGUUGAAUGGAAAAAUCAAAAUAACACUUAAUUUGAUCAGAAAAUUUGAAAUUACGUGUAAACUUUUUCUUACACCUUAAAUUGCAUGGAAAAAUCAAAAUAACACUUAAUUUAACCAGAAAAUUUGGAAUUAUGUGUAAACAUUUUCUUAUACCUUAAAUUUCAUGAAAAAAAUCAAAAUAACACUUAAUUUGACCAGAAUAUUUGAAAAAUAAUGUGUAAACUUUUUCUUACAUCUUAAAUUGCAUAGAAAAAUCAAAAUAACACCUAAUUUGACCAGAAAAUUUGAAAUUAUAUAUAAACUUUUUCUUACACUUUAAAUUCCAUUGAAAAAUUAAAAUAACACUUAAUUUGACUAGAAUAUUUGAAAAAUAAUGUGUAAACUUUUUCUUACAUUUUAAAUUGCAUGGAAAAAUCAAAAUAACACUUAAUUUGACCAGAAAAUUUGAAAUUAUGUGUAAAGUUUUUCUUACACCUUAAAUUACAUUAAAAAAAAUCAAAAUAACACUUAAUUCGAUCAGAGAAUCUUACAAGAUCCGUUCUUCUUUAAAUCCUUCUUCUUUUUGCUAACAUCUUGUUUUUUUUGCUAAACAAAACCCCUGUUACAACACUAACAAAUCAUGUCAAAAUUGAUAUAUUGAUAUAUACUGCACUUACAACGCUAACAUAUCAUGUUAGCAUGAUAUGUUUUACCAAAAUUUAUGUUUUUGUUUACAAAAUACGUGCUUGAUUCUUAUUUCAGCAAACAACAAAUUUGGUUCAACUUCACCACAUAUUACAUAUUCAGAACAAAGCCCUUUAACUACAGCCAGCUGACAUCUCUCUUUCUGUGUACUAGAAAGAGUAAAGAAAAAUUCUCAAGGUGCUGCAAUCUUAAUAAAACAACUAAAUUUAUCAAAUGUAAAGUUCACAUAGGACAUUUCGAAUUACCGGUGCUGAUUAGUGUGACCAAUUAUGUUAACAGCAUGAGAGUCAUUUAUUUUUCGGCUACUAGUAUGUAACAUUUUGAUUUAGAGAAUCAGAAAGUUCUUUUCCAUCAAGCUUUCCACCAUAUCCUUGAGGCUCACUUCAAGAGGUAGAAAAUCAAUGCCUAGACUUUUAGCUCUUUCCUUAGAGACAUGGAAGGGUGGACCAGCAGGCUUUUCUUUUUUGCACCUGAAACUCAAUACAAUAAAACAAAAUACCUGAGACUACUCCAACGACUUGUGGAAUUAUUAGGUGGAACUUAAAAAUUUUGAUUACUAUCAUGCGGUUGUAUUACAACAGUAUCAAAUGCAUUCAGCAAAGAGUGUACUACUGCAUUUUGUUAAAAUAACAGCUGGUUUCAUAAUGCAAUCGGAAAAAUAUUUUUAUUUUCCAAUGAUAUUAUAUCAAAGUGUGUAUAGACUUUAGAGAUCCAUGUUAUAUGACUCUAGAGAAUCUUAAUAUAAAAGCAUAUUAUAUGAUUCCCAUGUUCUUAUCAGAUCAACCCUUCAGAAGUCACGUCUUUUGUCAUCAUUUUUCACUUUGAUAGUUUGGCCAACAUGAAACGAACAGCAGCAACUUAAUCUUGACCACAUACAUGUCCAUCCAAUGAAAUUAAAAAAACAUGCUUAUCUAUUGAUUUCUUCGAUUAUCUGUAAUUUGUAAAGUAGAUAGAGUGUCAGGCAUCUACAUUAAACUUCUGUGAUUUACUAAGCCGAUACUUCAAAAACUCGUGUCAAGGUGUACAAAUCCUUUUUUGAUUUAAAAUUAUUUUUUCAUCAUUGAACAAUGACCGACUCUUCAUAACAAAUCGUUCAGAUUAUACAAAGAAAGGGAUUUAAAUCAGAACUACAAUGAAGAAAGAAAAAAUUGCACGAGACAAUGCACAUGGAUGACAACAUAUUAAAUUUUUUAAUGUCAGAUCCCAUGGAAUCAUGCCUAGAGUCAUGGAAGAUAGAAAUUCUAAUAUGUGAUGGCAAUGAAAAGUAAACAUACGUAUCAGGAAGACUAAUAGCAGGAUAAAGCUUGUGUAUUAUCUUCAAAGCCUCCGAAGAGUAUGCCACACUCCCAACUAAGCAAUAUCUUCCACAUGCAGAAGGAAUCUCAAAUGCUUGUAUAUGAGCAUAAGCAACAUCUCUGACAUCAACAAAUCUAUAAAUUCCAUCAAUGGACAUUUCUUUUCCUGUGACAUACAAAAUAUUUUAACCAUCAGGAUGAUUUAAAAAUGUGUGAUGAUAUAUGAACACAUCCAUACUUUUUGAUACUUAACAGUGUAAUUAAGAUGGAUGUCAUUUGUUUGUGAUACAUGCGUUGUAAAUUAGACGUCUCUCAUCUAGAUGGUCGAACAAACAAAAGGAAGCAUAACAUAUAUAGCAUAUACAAAUAUUACUGAAACCAACAAAGUAACGAGAAAAAACAAAAAUACUUUAAAUUUGGUUGAGAAAGCAAGAGGUGGGGAACUUUAAUUACAAUUUACUGUAAUUAGUUCUAGUUGGAGUGUAAGACUUCUCUGUAAAGUUUGAGAAGUCUUAAAAGUAGUGCUCGAUAAUCAAUAACAUCUUACAAUGCCAGAAGUAGAGAAAAUGAUUAUGUUUAUGAUAACCUAUAUUGGAGGAACAUCACAUAUGAUACUUGUACAUAUUAAAUACUUGGCUGAUAAGUGACAUAAACUGAUCAGUUGCAAAUGUACUUUAAUGAGGCUGCUCUUUUUUCAAUUUUUUCACAAUGUCCACAGGCAUAACUUUGGCCCUAAUGCCUUGCUCCUAGUGUCUGGGUGUCAGACUCAAGCAGUUUAGCACAGAAUGAAGAUUUUAAGUACCAGAGCCUUACAGGCCAAAGUUGACAAUACAAGUUGUUAGGGGUGUACGCGAUUUGUUUUGGGCAGUUAGAAGGUAAAACCAAACCAGACUACAACUUGCGGUUUUUUAAAAUUCUUCAUUUGUGGCUAAACCACUAGUUAGAAAAAACCGAACCAAAUCAACCCGCGAAAAUGCGGUUUUUGCAGUUCGAAUCUACAGUUCAAUCACUAUAGAUGCGUGUGUGUCUAGUUGGAAAAAAAAAAACUCGCCUUAGUUUAUGAGCUUGCAGAAUUUGCAGAAAUAAUAAUAUAAAGCAGUAGUAAUAAAGAAGUGCAGAACACAACCUAUGAAAAUCAAACAGAAUGGUACAAUAUAUAAGAUUAAGUAAUUAUACAUAAGCAGAAGCUUAGUUUAGAAAGUCGGGAAAAGGGGGACAGGGACGUACUCACAUAAAACCCAUGACCAAAAAAAGGUCAUGAAUAGGCGCCUGAACCACUGGGGCAACACGACAUUUGUAUAUUACUAUAGUUAGGCAUUAAGACAAUUCAAUAUAAGAAUUCAACUCAUAUAAAAAUAUAUGUAUAUUAUAGCACUCAAGUGACCCUGAUUUUUUCUCACUUAUAGGUCAGAGGAAAGAGCUGCAAGAAUCAAUCGAGUAGAAGAUACUUGGAAUUAUGUUAUCAAGUUUCUUCCAUAGGUAGUUGCUAGACAAGUUGCAUAGUUGAAAGGUAAAUGGUGCUUUGGCAAUGUAGCAGAAGGUAUCAUCUUACCCGUUUUAAUGAGGUUUAGCAUCCCUUCUGAAGUAGCAUUUAAAACUGGCUGCAAGAGAGGACCUAAGACAAAACCUGGAUGCAGUGUCACCAAGUCAAUUCCGUGCUCUUCUGCAAACUUUAAAGCUGCUUGCUCAGCCAAUGUUUUGAAAGGUGAUAAUAAAGCUGAGCAAAAACAGAAGUUCCAUCAACAUCUUACAGUUCACAAGCUUAAAGAUACUCUUUCAAAUUAUAGAAUUCCAAAGCAGGUGAAAUGAAAUAAUUCCAAAUAAAACACGGUCUUCAGAUUUAAGCCUUACAACGAAAAUGUUCCGUUCCAUAUUAAAUAACUAUGCCUUCGAUUGGAGGAUAACAAGGUUAACCACAGACAGCCUAUUACUUUCCUUUUUUUUUUUGCUAAAUGACUGAAGACUGAAGAAAACAAGCUGUGCAUUGUUUCUAAAACUUUGUAGGCAUGCGUUUCAGUUAAAAAAGAGUGGAAUAUAUGCUAUAGGCAGUCUACAGAACAAGCACAUUUUAACAUAUUUAACAGUUGAGAAUUUCAUAUUAUGUUGUACACUUGCCUUCCGUUCCUCACAAAGUACUGGAGAAGAAAACCAAGUUUCAUCCAUCACAGUAUCAGGCUUCAAAGGCUUCCCGGUGAUCAUAAUUGAAGCUGUGGAAGAUGUUAUUACCACCCUUUUAAUAGAUGGAAAUUUUGUGCAUGACUGAAGAACGUUAAGUGUUCCCUUCACUGCAGGCUCGACCAGUUCUGCCUGAAACUGAGUAAAGGAAAUAAGAACACGGAGGUCAAACGUACGCUUGUAAGCUAAAAUUCCAUUUCAGAAACAUUUGUUAGAAAAGUACAAAAAAUAAAAUGCAGAUCAUGCUCACACGUUGGUUGUUAUCAUAUAUUGAUAACAAUCAAGGAAACUACACAGCAAUAGAUCUACUGACUAAGUAAAUGAUAAUUAUAAACAAAAUAAGACAACAACCUAAUAUAACCCAGGAAAUUCACUUGUUCUGCCAAAGAUACGAACUGAAUCUAUAUUGUCCAAUAAUAUGGUAGAUAAAGGUUCCAGUCGUGUGUAAGUUUAAGAAUGGCGACGAAGUAUGAGCACUUUAUCUAGUGACAAAGUGCUAAAUCUAUAUAACUCUUUAAAAGUAGUUGUAAUACUACAUAUACUCUUCUUGUCAUGGUAUUGCCAUCCAAUUUAAUGUGACUAAAUGUCUAAUUUGUCCCUAAAUUUGUCUAGAUCAGUCUUACUUACAAGUACACGGAAAUGCAAGGAGUAGAAGAAAAAAACCUGGGGGAUAGAAGAUGAAAGGUUUACAGGUGAUGCUGUAUGAAAGACACAAUCACAUCCAUCAACCGCAGGAUCAAAUGAUCCCUCCUCAAGUAAAUUUGCUUCAAACAAGUGAAGUCUUUCCUUGGCUCCGUCAAGUGCAAGGAGGUGUUCGGUCUUCUGUGGAUC
rnacentral:lncRNA from 1 species